rnacentral:siRNA from 1 species
GGACGACCGACGUGCAUAAAUAUG